UACAGAGGUCUCAAGCGUUGUUCGGAUUCAUUGGGCGUAAAGGGUGCGUAGGUGGCGCCGUAAGUCGGGUGUGAAAAUUUCGGAGCUUAACUCCGAAACUGCAUUGCGUAUACGUGCUGGUGUGCUUGAGGGACUGGGAGAGGAGACGUGGUAAAUUCGUGGUGUAGCAGUGAAAAUGCGUAGAGAUCAUGAGGAAGACCAGUGGCGAAGGCGGGUCUCUGGACAGUUCCUGACAGCUG
rnacentral:rRNA from 1 species